CAAAAUGGUCAGACAAAAGGGAAGAAAGAGGAGAAGAAAUGAAACAAAGAUCAGCAAAAACUACUACAUUCUUUGUUCCGAGAACCAAUCCUUUUCAUUUUUCAUUUUCAUAUUUUG
rnacentral:ribozyme from 1 species